AACGUUUUGUUUGGACAGCAGUGGCUUCCUCUGUGGUAUCCUCCCAUGAAAUCCAUUCUUGUUUAGUGUUUUACGUAAUGUAGAUUGCUAACAGGGAUGUUAGCAUUUGCCAGUGACUUUUGUAAGUCUUUAGCUGACACUCUAGGAUUCUUCUUCACCUCACCUCUGCGCUGUGCUCUUGCAGUCAUCUUUACAGGACGGCCAUUCCUAGGGAGAACUUUCUCCAUUUAUAGACAAUUUGUCUUACCGUGGACUGAUGAACAGCAAGGCCUUUGGAGAUACUUUUAUAACCCUUUCCAGCUUUAUGCAAGUCAACAAUUCUUAAUCGUAGGUCUUCUGAGAGCUCUUUUGUG